rnacentral:rRNA from 1 species
UACGGGGGGAGCAAGCGUUGUUCGGAUUUACUGGGCGUAAAGGGCGCGUAGGCGGCGCAACAAGUCACUUGUGGAAUCUCCGGGCUUAACCCGGAGCGGCCAAGUGAUACUGUCGUGCUAGAGUGCGGAAGGGGCUACUGGAAUUCUCGGUGUAGCGGUGAAAUGCGUAGAUAUCGAGAGGAACACCUGCGGCGAAGGCGGGUAGCUGGGCCGACACUGACGCUGAGGCGCGAAAGCCAGGGGAGCGAACGGG